GUGCUCGCUUCAGCAGCACAUAUACUAAACUUGGAACGCUACAGAGAAAAUUAGCAUGGCCCUGCACAAGGAUAACAUGAAGCAUUCCAUAUUAAA
ensembl:snRNA U6 U6 spliceosomal RNA